rnacentral:lncRNA from 1 species
AGUGGCUCUGUAAAAAGGCCAACUCGCUGGAGGACGGAAGGGUGGCCUGAAGACUGAGGAGGGGCAGGUCAGGUGCCCAGUCCAGAGAGGAGGAGUUGAAGAUGACAAGCCGCACCCCACCUCCCCCCAACUCACUUGGGACUGGAUCCACCCUGAGGAGCCUCGGGUCAACAUCCUGUUUCCGGCAAGCCCUCCUGGAGGCCACACAGAGGGGUGUUUGUUCGUAGUGGGCGACGGGAGAGAUGCUAAUCACGUUGGAUAGCUGGUCCCAGCUGAAGGUCAGGAGGUACCUGUACCUCUGCAUCCCACCCACCAAGCCCUAGUCCUCAGCCUGCUCCAGCUGAAACUGGAAGACCCAGCCUUCAGAGCCUGGCCCGGCCUCCAGACACCUGAUCUGAUGUGGGGUUGAUUCCAGAGCCAUGUGUUCUCUGCUGGAUGGAAACAAGAGUCCCCCGUCUCACUUUGGAAGGCUUAGUGAAGAGAUUCUAGUGGCAACAA